GCGUGUGUGUGUGUGUGUGUGUCUGUGCCUGCUUUAUUAUUUUUCCACUGCCUUGACAAAUCUUCACUCUCUUCUGGUGAUCUGCAACAUCCCAUCAUCCUUGUUGGAUGUCCGCUAUGGAACAUCCAGCUGUUAAAGAUAUUGAAAUGGGAGUGGAAGUGUGUGUGAAUACCUGUGGAUCCAUUGCAUGUGUGUGUGUGUUGUUGUGUAGGUGUGUGUGUGUGUGAGAGAGAGAGAGAGAGAAAGAGAGAGAGUGCUAGAAUUAGUAGGUGGUGUUAGCCGAGGUCUGGCCCUCCAGGCUGCAGGCUGCAGGCUGCAGGCAGGCUCCUGACGCUGUUGGAACUAUUUGAGGUAAAGCCAAUUUGGACUCUCUCUGUGGUCAUGUGAUGUGCGCAGAUCGAACUUGAAGGCGAGCUCCCAGCAUCAUUGUUUGAAGACGAGCACAGAAUGUGGCACGCGCGGGGGGGAAAAAAGGGAGCAACAGUAUCAUUGGACUCCACGUCCACUGAAGGCUCUGGUGUUUGGUCUUCCGGAGGUCCAUGACUCAUAACUCGUGACGACUCUCCCUAACAAGUCUGGUCUCAUUGGUCUCAUCAUCACACACUCAUUAUUGCUUGACGACCUGACACAGAGGAUAUGUAUGUAAAAGCAUGUGGAAAAAGGUUGAAUGGAUGCAAAGAGCUGAGGUCACAGUUACAAGAAGACGUACUGGACAUGGAGCUGGAGAGAGAAGGAGGCCGCGAAACGAGAGGAAAAAAUGACGCACACAGCAACAAAGCGCUGCUUUUUUAAAUCCAAAAUAACAUAACCUGUAUGUGCUGCUUACGUCAAAAGAAUUUUAAGCAGCUAACUGUAAGCCCUUUAAGACCUCUUCUGUGUUUGUGCAAGUGUGCAUGUACACACACACGCACUCACACACACAAAGACACAUACACACUUCCCACGACAACUCCUCAGUUGCCUGGGCCUCUGUCGGCUACCUUUGAAAUCGCCUUGCUUCUCGUCCUCCCCACUUGUUGAUUCACACAUCUGAUCUCUCCAUGAAAGACACAUUAGAACGCUCAGUGUUGCCCGGCAAGGAUCUCCAUACGCCUGGGGGCAAUACUUUCCUUCCACUCCAGGGGUUAUCACGUGAUUGUCUCUCUCUGUAUCCAUUCUUUAGGUGACCAAAAGGCCUCAACACAUUUCACACCACGAGUGCAUGAACGCACCAAAUGAAAAUGUCUGCACCAACAUAAUUUUUAUUCAUUCAUUGUCAGUAUUAGUUGUGUUGUUGAUGCAAUACAUAUUUGUCUUUUUGUGUAACUAGACAAGCAUUCACAAAUGUUAUUGUAUAUGCAAAUACGAUUGCAUGGAUGAUAUGAGACCGGCGUUUCAACUAAUGCAAUUGUGUAUCAAUGUUUUUCCACCUUUGCUAAUGUUUAAAAACAAGCAUCCAACAUUAAUACAGCCACAAAUCUUCAAAGCAAAUGGUAUUAUGUGAAUGCUGCUGAUAGAAUACUGAUCAAGUAGUGUAAAUAAAAAUCAUUUUGUGAAUGCUGAGAAACAAACACUCUGCUAUUAUUGUGAGAAAGCAUAUGGUAUUGCAACAUAUUAAAAUUGUACCGUAUUGUAUUCACACUAAUAUUUUUUCUUAUAAUUCCCUUAUGAUAAUCUUGCUUAAUGUUUAACCUCUCUCUGCAUUCUAUUUUAUCUGUUCACUAAAGUAAAAGACAGACAUAUUUGUCGUGUGCGGAGCAACGUGGCUGUAACAAAAAUAUAAAAUAAUUGAAUUAAUGUUUUUUUUUUUUUAUUGCCAACUCUUAGGCAGGGACUGUUAAUAGUUUGAAGUUUGGCUUUUUAUUGAAGGACAUUCUUAUUUUUUUGGUUUGUUUUGUUGUUGGUCUUUGAAAAAAGAUUUACAUAAAAAAGUAGUAGUAGUUGGAGAUAGAUAAACAGAAGAUAGAGAGACAGAAGAAUUCAUGUUAUCUAUUUAAAUAGAAAACAGCAAACAAAUAUCACGGAUGUCUUGAAGUUUGUUGUCAUAUGAUAAACUUUAACGCUACAUUUCUGCAGAGACGGGAAACAUGCACAUCGCAGUGAUUUUUCAUUAAAUGUUG